rnacentral:rRNA from 1 species
AUACGGAAGGUCCGGGCGUUAUCCGGAUUUAUUGGGUUUAAAGGGAGCGCAGGCGGCACUUCAAGCGUGACGUUAAAUUUCGGGGCUCACCCCCGUUGUGCGUCGCGAACUGUUGUGCUUGAGUAGGCGGCAGGGAGGCGGAAUUCGCGGUGUAGCGGUGAAAUGCUUAGAUAUCGCGAGGAACUCCGAUAGCGCAGGCAGCCUCCCGUUGCUUUACUGACGCUCAUGCUCGAAGGUGCGGGUAUCGAACAGGAUUAGAUACCCUGGUAGUCCGUACUGUAAACGAUGGAUGCCCGCUGUUGGGCCUGUUAGGUUCAGUGGCCAAGAGAAAUCGUUAAGCAUCCCACCUGGGGAGUACGCCGGCAACGGUGAAACUCAAAUGAAUUGACGGGG